UUUGGUGGCUUAUCGCAGGGGUCAUAUCUCUUCCCAUUCCGAACAGAGUCAUCAAGCCCUGUAGAACCGAUGAUAUCCACUUUUGGUGGAGAAAGUAGGUAGCCGCCAGAA
rnacentral:rRNA from 3 species